GAUGAACGCUGGCGGCGUGCCUAAUACAUGCAAGUCGAGCGAACAGACGAGGAGCUUGCUCCUCUGACGUUAGCGGCGGACGGGUGAGUAACACGUGGAUAACCUACCUAUAAGACUGGGAUAACUUCGGGAAACCGGAGCUAAUACCGGAUGAUAUAUUGAACCGCAUGGUUCAAUAGUGAAAGACGGUUUUGCUGUCACUUAUAGAUGGAUCCGCGCCGCAUUAGCUAGUUGGUAAGGUAACGGCUUACCAAGGCAACGAUGCGUAGCCGACCUGAGAGGGUGGUCGGCCACACUGGAACUGAGACACGGUCCAGACUCCUACGGGAGGCAGCAGUAGGGAAUCUUCCGCAAUGGGCGAAAGCCUGACGGAGCAACGCCGCGUGAGUGAUGAAGGUCUUCGGAUCGUAAAGCUCUGUUAUUAGGGAAGAACAAAUGUGUAAGUAACUAUGCACGUCUUGACGGUACCUAAUCAGAAAGCCACGGCUAACUACGUG
rnacentral:rRNA from 1 species